rnacentral:rRNA from 1 species
AGUAGUUUGAUCAGUGGCUCGAGGACGAACGCUGGCGGCAUGCCUAACACAUGCAAGUCUAGGGGGUAGCAAUACCACUGGCGCACGGGUGAGUAACACGUAGGUUAUCUGCCCCCAUCACAGACAUAACCCCGGGAAACCGGGGCUAAUAUCUGAUGAGGUCGCGAGAUCAAAGCUUCGGCGGAUGGGGAUGAGCCUGCGGCUGAUUAGCUAGUUGGUGAGGUAAUGGCUCACCAAGGCGACGAUCAGUAGCUGGUCUGAGAGGACGAACAGCCACACUGGAACUGAGACACGGUCCAGACUCCUACGGGAGGCAGCAGUGAGGAAUAUUGGUCAAUGGGAGCAAUCCUGAACCAGCAAUGCCGCGUGUGGGAUGACAGGGCUUCGCCUUGUAAACCACUGUCGGACGGGACGAAAGGAGGCCUCGGGCCUCUGGGACGGUACCGUCAAAGGAAGGGUCGGCUAACUACGUG